GAAAAAGAUAAGAACAAAGAAGAGAGAAAUGAAGAGAAUAAAGACAAAAACUUGUUGAUUCCCUCACCAGUAGUUGAUUUGGGAUCAAAAGAAGAAGAAAAAGAGCAGUACAGAAAAGAGAGAAACGAGGAGGAAAAAAUUGAGAAGAAAGAGAAAAGGAAUGAGGAGUCACCAAAAACCCCAAUUCCUCCAAAAAAGAAGCAACCUUUUGAUAUAACUCCUCCAAGUUUCAAGUUAUUGACCCCCUCACCAGCAGUUGAAAAUCAAGAAGAUAAUGAAGCAGAACUCACUUACGAAGAAGUGACAGCAAAUGUUCUAAAUUGUGCUUUUCUAAAUCCAGAUCAUCCACCUACAUUGGAUGAAGAGGAGAAGCAAGAAGAGGAAAAAGAGGAGAAGAAAGAAGAGGAAAAAGAGGAGAAGAAAGAAGAGGAA